rnacentral:ncRNA from 1 species
AAAGUUUUGUUUAAUUUUAUUUUUAUUGUAUGUGUUUCAUUGUUAUUCUAAAGUUUUAUUCUUGCUUAUUUAUUCACUUUUUCUUUAUAUUAUAUAUAAGUUUUGUUAAACUAAAUGUUCUGUUUAUUAUAGUAAUUAAAUUUAAUUAUCAAAUUAUUUUGGAAUUAGUAAUUGAUAAAGUAUUGGCAUAUUUCGUGCCAGCAGCCGCGGUUAGACGAUUAAUGCAAGUGAAUAUUUUUGGUUAAUAUAGUUAUAAUUUUUUUUGAGUUUUAGUAAUUAAUUAUUGGGUGAAAUUUUAUUUUUUUUUUUGCUCUGAUUUUAGAAUCUGUGAAACUUAUAAAAUAAACUAGGAUUAGAUACCCUAUUAUUUUAAGUGUAAAUUUGUUUUUACUAGGGUAGUAUAAGUUAAGAUCUUUAAACCCAAAGAAUUUGGCGGUAUUUUAUUCCAUUCAGAGGAACCUAUCUCGUAAUUGAUAGUACACGAUUUACUUUACUUGAUUUAUUUGUUUGUAUAUCUCCGUUAUCAGAAGAUCUUAUUGGAGGAAAAAUUUUCUUGUUUUUUUAUUAAAUUUUAUUUCAGGUCAAGGUGCAGCUUAUAAUUAAGAGUUUGAUGGGUUACAAUAAAUUUUUUUUAUUAUGAAUUUAAUUUUGUAAUAUUUUAAUGAAGGUGGAUUUGAUAGUAAUUUAAAUUAUUUAAUUUAAUUGAUAUUGGCUCUAAGGUGUGUACACAUCGCCCGUCGCUCUCGUUAUUGAUUAAUAAUUAUUUUCAUUUAAUAUGAGAUAAGUCGUAACAUAGUAGGUGUACUGGAAAGUGUAUCUAGUAAGUUUAUA